rnacentral:rRNA from 1 species
AUUGAACGCUGGCGGCAGGCUUAACACAUGCAAGUCGAGCGGGGUGAUGGUGCUUGCACUAUCACUUAGCGGCGGACGGGUGAGUAAUGCUUAGGAAUCUGCCUAUUAGUGGGGGACAACAUCUCGAAAGGGGUGCUAAUACCGCAUACGUCCUACGGGAGAAAGCAGGGGAUCACUUGUGACCUUGCGCUAAUAGAUGAGCCUAAGUCGGAUUAGCUAGUUGGUGGGGUAAAGGCCUACCAAGGCGACGAUCUGUAGCGGGUCUGAGAGGAUGAUCCGCCACACUGGGACUGAGACACGGCCCAGAAUCCUACGGGAGGCAGCAGUGGGGAAUAUUGGACAAUGGGGGGAACCCUGAUCCAGCCAUGCCGCGUGUGUGAAGAAGGCCUUAUGGUUGUAAAGCACUUUAAGCGAGGAGGAGGCUCUUUUGGUUAAUACCCAAGAUGAGUGGACGUUACUCGCAGAAUAAGCACCGGCUAACUCUGUGCCAGCAGCCGCAGUAA